CGUAUGGUGUUCAACUUCGGGUUGGAUAGCGAUACGGCCUUACUUAGGGGU
rfam:Pseudoalteromonas atlantica T6c, complete genome.